CACCACUGAUGCUCUGUGUGACACAAAUGACAAAACAACACUAUCAAAGGACAAAGGGGGACGGACGAGGCAAAGAAGAAAAAAUAUACAAACAGUUCAGAAGGAUAAAGAUGAAACUAUAGAACUGAGAAGCAGAACAUCGGUAGAGACAGAAAAUCACACAUCAACUGCCUGUAAAAGACAGACAUGGCCAGGAAAUACAAACACCUUGCUUGCACACAUUUAGUGACUGGGAAGUGAAAGUGACUUCUCUGGUGGAGAAGGAGCCUGGAUUUGUGCGUGAGGUUGAGAGGUACCGGCUAGUCAGGCUCACCUCAACACACAGCCUUGGGCUCUAGAACCAGUCUCCUGGAGAG